AAAUGUUCACUGUGCACAGAGGCUUGCAUAUUUCACGCUGACAUCUCACUACCAUGUUUUCCAACAUGGUAGUGGUUAGAACAAGGAGCUGGAAUUGAGGUACAGAUCAAUAGCAUCCUUGUUGAAGUGGCUGUCACUUGAAUUCUUCGGAAAUCAUUGGAGAAAACAGAAAGAAACUGAAACGGCAUAAAUGAAUUAAACCAGCAGAUUCCCCAUGGAUUCCUCAGAAGAGUCUAUUUCUCUGAUUAAGGAAUUCCACCAGCACUGGAGAAAAAUGUAGGUACUGAAGUAUAGUCUUGAUUCUGUUUUGGCAUCAUCCCUAAAAGAGUGCUUUUUCAUUCUGUGAACACUGAACUGAGAGUCCUCCCCACACCCCUGUCCUACAUUUGCUGGUCCACUUGAUAUAUUACCAGACAAUAACCAGGUUCUUGUGGUCAGUGAGUGUAUUUUUAUAGAACAUGAAGAGCUGCAGUUUCUGGAGUAUUUGGUAGGAUGUUAUGUUCUUUAAAAUAUUGCCUUGUUGAGUCAUAUUGGAAACUGAGACAAAAGGAAAAAUGAGUAAUGUUGAUCCUGACUUUAUUAAGUAAGCAAACAAAUACAUAAAUAUCACUCAGCACAUAUUGUCCAUUCUAGUUGUGCAGUACAGAGUAAUAUGUGUGCAUUGAGGAAACGGAUGCCAUUUACUGAGAAAGAAUAAUAGAGUAUUUGAAGUGAAGAAGUGAAUCACGUGAAUAAUAGGCAAAUGUCUAUUUAUUGAUUGGUAAGCUUAAAAAUCAUUGAAUCUUAGAACAGAUUCUGAAGAUGUAGAUUUUGGAGAGAGGGGAGUGUUUAUUAUGUUUCCUUUUGGCUCCUUUUUCUGGAUGUCUAUUCUUAGAAGAAAUGCAUUAUUGAAACACCAGCCUAGACAUCUAACCAUUGUAAGAGGACCUGUCUAAUACUUAACUAAUUUAAAAAAUAUCAGCAUCAAUAUCUCAUUGUGGCUCUCAUUUGAAUUUCCCUGAUGAUUAGUGAUGUUGAGCAUCUUCUCAUGUGUCUGUUGGCCAUUUGUAUGUCUUCUUUGGAAAAAUGUCUGUUCAGGUCCUCUGUCCUUUUAAAAUCAGGUUAUGUAUGGUUUUAUG